AUGGCUCAGAUUGAACGCUGGCGGCAUGCUUUACACAUGCAAGUCGAGCGGCAGCGCGGGGGCAACCCUGGCGGCGAGCGGCGAACGGGUGAGUAAUGCAUCGGAACGUACCCUGGAGUGGGGGAUAACGCCGCGAAAGCGGCGCUAAUACCGCAUAUGCUCUGAGGAGGAAAGUGGGGGACCGCGAGGCCUCACGCUCUGGGAGCGGCCGAUGUCCGAUUAGCUAGUUGGUGGGAUAAAGGCUUACCAAGGCGACGAUCGGUAGCUGGUCUGAGAGGAUGAUCAGCCACACUGGGACUGAGACACGGCCCAGACUCCUACGGGAGGCAGCAGUGGGGAAUUUUGGACAAUGGGGGCAACCCUGAUCCAGCCAUGCCGCGUGAGUGAAGAAGGCCUUCGGGUUGUAAAGCUCUUUUGGUCGGGAAGAAAGCGCCUUGCCUAAUACGCGAGGUGAUUGACGGUACCGGCAGAAUAAGCACCGGCUAACUACGUG
rnacentral:rRNA from 1 species